UACGUAGGUCCCGAGCGUUGUCCGGAUUUAUUGGGCGUAAAGCGAGCGCAGGUGGUUUAUUAAGUCUGGUGUAAAAAGCAGUGGCUCAACCAUUGUAUGCAUUGGAAACUGGUAGACUUGAGUGCAGGAGAGGGGAGUGGAAUUCCAUGUGUAGCGGUGAAAUGCGUAGAUAUAUGGAGGAACACCGGUGGCGAAAGCGGCUCUCUGGCCUGUAACUGACACUGAGGCUCGAAAGCGUGGGGAGCAAACAAG
rnacentral:rRNA from 1 species